GCCCUGUUCCCUGUCGCUGGCCCUGUUCCCUUUCACCGACACGGGAUCCUGUGCAGUGCUGCGGGGCCAGAGCCUGUCCCAGGCCUCUACCGCGUCCCUGGACUCGGGCUGGACGCGGAGAGUGGGGCGCUGUCUCUCAGGGUCCCCACCCUCAGCCAGGCGGGCACCACGGCAGGGGCUGAGCCACCAUCAUGGAAGGGAGAGGACCAUACCGGAUCUACGACCCUGGGGGCGGCGUACCUCUGGGUGAGGCGUCCGCAGCUUUUGAGCGCCUAGUGGAGGAGAAUUCCAGACUGAAGGAAAAAAUGCAAGGGAUAAAGAUGUUAGGGGAGCUUUUGGAAGAGUCCCAGAUGGAAGCGUCCAGGCUGCGGCAGAAGGCAGAGGAGCUGGUCAAGGACAGUGAGCUGCUCCCACCGCCGUCUCCCUCUAUGGCCUCCUUCGACCACCUGGCUGAGCUCACAGGAAAGGAUGCAGAUGUCCCAGCAACCCCCGCUGACCCUGCACGCCCCAGCGACAAGCCAGAGCCAGUCCCCAAACCUCCAGCAAGUAGCACCUCCUCUGAAUUUGAAGUGGUCCCCGCCGAGGGGCAUUCUUCACCAGAGAGCGGCAGCCACACCAGAAAUACCACGGAGCUGGGCCCCCUGCCCCACGAGGACAGCAACCUGAUGCUGCACCUGCAGCGCCUGGAGACCACCCUGAGCGUGUGCGCCAAGGAGCCUGACCACAGCCAGCUCUUCACGCACCUGGGCCGCAUGGCCCUCGAGUUCAACCGGCUGGCUUCCAAGGUGCACAAGAAUGAGCAGCGCACCUCCAUCCUGCAGACCCUGUGUGAGCAGCUUCGGAAGGAGAAUGAGGCCCUGAAGGCCAAGCUGGACAAGGGCCUGGAACAGCGGGAUCAGGCUGCUGAGAGGCUCCGGGAGGAAAACCUGGAGCUCAGGAAGUUGUUGAUGAGCAGCGGCAAAGAUGGUGCCUCCAGAUGGCCAGGCUCACCAAAGACGGAAGGCACGGGCAAGAAGGGGGCAGCCGCACAGCAGCAGACUGAUGUUAUGGAUUUGGACAAGAAGAUCACUGGAGUGACAUCUUGCAUUAUGUCAAGGGCUGGUGUGACAGCAGGUAAAGUCCCAGAGGUGGAAGCCUUGGGUACUGCUGAGAAGAAGGUGAGGAUGCUGGAGCAGCAGCGCACAGAGCUGCUGGAAGUGAACAAGCAAUGGGACCAGCAUUUCCGGUCCAUGAAGCAGCAGUAUGAGCAGAAGAUCACUGAGCUGCGCCAGAAGCUGGCGGACCUGCAGAAGCAGGUGACUGAGCUGGAAGCCGAGCGGGAACAGAAGCAGCGCGACUUUGACCGCAAGCUCCUCCUGGCCAAGUCCAAGAUAGAAAUGGAGGAGACCGACAAGGAGCAGCUGACAGCAGAGGCCAAGGAGCUGCGUCAGAAGGUCAAAUACCUGCAGGAUCAGCUGAGCCCGCUCACCCGGCAGCGGGAGUACCAGGAAAAGGAGAUUCAGCGGCUCAACAAGGCCCUGGAGGAAGCACUGAGUAUCCAGGCCUCCCCAUCAUCUCCAACAGCAGCAUUCGGGAGCCCGGAAGGAGCUGGAGGCCUGCUAAGGAAACAGGAGCUGGUCACGCAGAAUGAAUUGCUGAAACAGCAGGUGAAGAUUUUUGAGGAGGACUUCCAGAGGGAGCGCAGCGACCGGGAGCGCAUGAAUGAGGAGAAGGAAGAGCUGAAGAAGCAGGUGGAGAAACUGCAAGCCCAGGUCAGCCUGUCCCAUGCCCAGCUAAAAGCCUUCAAAGAGGAGGAGAGGGCGAAAGAUGCCCUGAGACAGCAGAAGAGGAAAGCAAAGACCUCGGCAGACCGCUACCACGUGGAGCCCCACCCAGAGCAUCUCUACGGGGCCUACCCCUACGCCUACCCGCCCAUGCCCCCCGUUGUGCCACACCGUGGCUUCGAGGACUGGUCCCAGAUCCGCUACCCGCCUCCCCCCACGGCCAUGGAGCACCCACCCCCGCUUCCCAACUCGCGUCUCUUCCACCUGCCAGAAUACACCUGGCGGCUGCCCUGUGGAGGGAUACGCAAUCAGAGCUCCCAAGUGAUGGGCUCACCCACGGCCAGGCCUACGGAACCAGUUUAGGGUCUAAAUGCUGUGUGCUGUACGAGGUUCUGGGGCAGCUUGGAUAUGGUCCCAGCCCUUAUGACCUUACUGUCUAGUGAGGCGGGCAGAAAUGAAUGGCUAAAGUCACACCAAUGGGCAUACAACUGCACUCAAGUGCCCUGAAGGAAGAAGAGCAGGUUUCUAUGAGAGCAGACGGCAGAGGGACAUGACCCAGCCUGGGGGCCAUGGUGUUUGAGUUGAGACCCUCAGAAUGAGUGGCAUUAACGAGGUAAAGAGGCAGAAGCCAAGGGUGUUCUUGCAGAGAAAGGACAAAUGCAAAGGCCUUGGUGAGAAGGGAUGAAGAACUGUGGCCAGCUUGAGGAUUGAGAGAAGGCCAGUGUGGCUGGAGCCAGGAACAAGAGCCCAGCAAAAAUGACCAUGAGGGACCUCAGUGAAACCAGUCCCUUGGCUCCACCUUCGUCUUGCAGAGCCAGCUGACUUCAGCUUACUGGAAAACUAGAGGCCAUGGGCUCUCCGAGCCUCAGCCACUCGGGAGGCUGAGAUGGAUGGCCAGCUUGAGCCCUGGCCCCAACCUGAACUGUUUAGAGACUGGGGAGGCUCCAUCCAGAAGGCGUCCAUCUGGGCUUUUCCUUUGGAGUGACUGGGAAAAACUCACUACUCUGCCACUGGUUGGAGAGAGGUGUCAUCCGGCCUUGACCUACCAUCCCCUGCAGAAACUGCUGACAGAUGUUAAUCUCAAGUGGGGUACAGUCAAGACCCCUUCCUUUCAUAACUUGCUCAGAAUUGGUUCAGCAGCCCCUCUGGGGACCACAUUCAGUUCAUGUGUGUGUUUAAUUUUUGCUUCAAGCUCUGCAGUAGCAGGACCUGCCCCACGCACAUCCCCUCCCCCUCUGAGGAGCUGCGGGAAGAGCGGGUUUGCCUCUGGGAGCAGAAGAGACAGGAUGCUUUACUCCCGGGCCCUCCAGUUCCGCCCACGGCAGCCUUGCCAGCACCACUGCAGCCUGGGAUGAAGCCCAUGCCAGCCACAUCGGCUGAGGGACCCCAGCCUGAAGCUGCCAGGCCCUCAGCUGGAGGCUUGUGGUGCUGGAGGCCCGGAUUGGGGUGGCUGUUGAUCCCCGGGCAGCUGUUUGCACGAAUCUUGGACAUAAAUCCAAGUUGAAGAUUAAUAUUUUGUGACUGGUAUUCUUUUAUGCCCUGAUUAAUGUUCUGCUCCUAGUCAACCAGAGCGCUGCUUUCCUGGCCCCCUCCCUCCAUACCCCAUUCCUCCCAGACACACCCAGGAGCAUCACCGUUACUCUUGGCAGAUAUCCCCUGGGGCCCUGCUCAGAGCCUCUGUGAGGGUUGUCCAGGGGCUGGGGGUCACGCAACCUGGGUUUACAUUCUAGUCCUGCCCCUCACUUGUCAGGAGACAUUGGGCAAGGCCUGGACCUUCUACAAGGCUGUUUCUUCAUCUGUCAAAUGAACACCUCACCUGAGCCCUAGCUGCCGUGGAGAACUGUGGGAUGAGAGUAGACGUGAGCUGGUUUUAUAAACUCCAAAUGCCGAGUGAGGAAACAGAGUGGGCCUAGGUGGAAACCAAAAAGCAAGGGCCCAAAGGUCUCCGUUCCUUUUCUCUUCCUCUUCCUCUUCUCCCUUCCCCCCGGCGAGGGUGGCCCCACUGAGGAAGCAUCACAGUAGGCUCAGCUGCUGCAGAAAGGCCUUUACUAGGCAGACAGGGGUGAGUCUAAUGCCAGCGGGUCGGGGUGAGAGGAGAGGGCACAUCCCUCAAAGGAGCGGGGGUGGCAUCCCUGCCCGGGGGCCUCAGCCUGAAUGCACUAAGGGCCGGCCCUUCAGACAGGUUCAAGGGAGGUCCGCCCACAAGGGCUUCGGGCCCCUCCUUCAUGGAGAUGCCACCCCUGACAUGGGGAACAUGGCCCUUGCUCUCACAUCUGCCUUGGCUACUCUCAGGGAACACUGCGGGGCGGGGUAGGGGGCUUGGGAGGGCCCUCAGGAAGGAGGGAGGCUGUGUGAUGGAGAGGAGGGAGGUCGGGCAGUGUGGCAGACCCAGAAACUUCUGGGCACUUCAGGGGUGGUGUUUGGAGGCAGUGGGAGGAGCCGGCUCCAAGGGAUGAGGUCUAGGUUAGAGCAGAA